rnacentral:rRNA from 1 species
GAUGAACGCUGGCGGCGUGCCUAACACAUGCAAGUCGAACGGUCCGCAAGGACAGUGGCGCACGGGUGAGGAACACGUAGCUGACCUGCCUCAAGGUGUGGGAUAACGGUUCGAAAGGACUGCUAAUACCGCAUAAGCUCACGGUGUUUGGAAAGCUGUGAGAAAAGGAGCAAUCCGCCAUGAGAGGGGGCUGCGACCCAUCAGGUAGUUGGUAAGGUAAUGGCUUACCAAGCCGACGACGGGUAACGGGUCUGAGAGGAUGAUCCGUCACACUGGGACUGAGACACGGCCCAGACUCCUACGGGAGGCAGCAGUGAGGAAUAUUGCACAAUGGGGGCAACCCUGAUGCAGCGACGCCGCGUGGGUGAUGAAGGCUUUCGGGUCGUAAAACCCUUUUUUGUGUGACGAGUAAGGACGGUAGCACAAGAAUAAGCCUCGGCUAACUACGUG